rnacentral:rRNA from 1 species
GAUGAACGCUGGCGGCGUGCCUAAUACAUGCAAGUCGAACGCUGGAGAUCUAGCUUGCUAGAUCGAAGGAGUGGCGAACGGGUGAGUAAUACAUAAGCAACCUACCCACGAAGACUGGGAUAAUCUCUGGAAACGGGGACUAAUACCGGAUAGGUAAUCGGAAGGCAUCUUCUGGUUAUUAAAGGUUAAAAACACUGGUGGAUGGGCUUAUGGCGCAUUAGUUAGUUGGUGAGGUAACGGCCCACCAAGACGAUGAUGCGUAGCCGGCCUGAGAGGGUGAACGGCCACAUUGGGACUGAGACACGGCCCAGACUCCUACGGGAGGCAGCAGUAGGGAAUUUUCGGCAAUGGGGGCAACCCUGACCGAGCAACGCCGCGUGAGUGAAGACGGCCUUCGGGUUGUAAAGCUCUGUUGUAAGGGAAGAACGAUAGAUAGAGAAUAUCUAAGUGACGGUACCUUACCAGAAAGCCACGGCUAACUACGUGCCAGCAGCCGCGGUAAUACGUAGGUGGCGAGCGUUAUCCGGAAUUAUUGGGCGUAAAGGGUGCGUAGGCGGCCUGUUAAGUAAGUGGUUAAAUUGUUGGGCUCAACCCAAUCCAGCCACUUAAACUGGCAGGCUAGAGUAUUGGAGAGGCAAGUGGAAUUCCAUGUGUAGCGGUAAAAUGCGUAGAUAUAUGGAGGAACACCAGUGGCGAAGGCGGCUUGCUAGCCAAAGACUGACGCUCAUGCACGAAAGCGUGGGGAGCAAAUAGG